UACAGAGGGUGCGAGCGUUGUCCGGAAUCACUGGGCGUAAAGGGCGCGUAGGUGGUGGCUUAAGCGUGCGGUGAAAGCUCGGAGCUCAACUCCGAGUCGGCCGUGCGAACUGGGCUCACUGGAGCAUAGUAGAGGCAGGUGGAAUUCCGGGUGUAGCGGUGGAAUGCGUAGAGAUCCGGAAGAACACCGGUGGCGAAGGCGGCCUGCUGGGCUAUGGCUGACACUGAGGCGCGAAAGCGUGGGGAGCAAACAGGG
rnacentral:rRNA from 1 species